ACCCGCUGAACUUAAGCAUAUCAGUAAGCGGAGGAAAAGAAACUAACUAGGAUUCCCCGAGUAGCGGCGAGCGAAAGGGGAGAAGCCCAGCGCCGAAGCGCGCGGCCUCCGGCCGCAGCGCAAUGUGGCGUUUCGGCGGCGACUCGCAGCCACCUGACCUGGCACGCGUACCUCUGAAUGGGUCUGCCCGCAGCGGGUGUCAGGCCUCUAGGUGCCGAGCGGUCAGUGGCGGCCCGUCGUCGUCGCGGAGUCGGGUUGCUUGAGAGUGCAGCCCAAAGUGGGUGGUAAGCUCCAUCUAAGGCUAAAUACCUAGUGCGAGACCGAUAGCAAACAAGUACCGUGAGGGAAAGUUGCAAAGAACUUUGAAAAGAGAGUUCAAGAGUACGUGAAACCGUUCAGAGGCAAACGGACGGAACUGGGCGAGUUCGCCGUCGUCAUUCAGCCGGCGCGUCUUCGGGCGCGACGGUGCACUUGGCGGCGGCGGAGCACGACGACCGCCUGCCAGGUCGUCAGAAGCGCGGCGGCAAGGUGGCGACGCGUUCGCGCGUCGUGUUACAGGCCGCCGUGGCGUUGGCAGACUUGGCGGGCGAGGAGCGCCUGCGGUGCCCUCUCCUCGCGAGAGCGGCCCGCGCGCGCGGGCUCGGGGCCGUCGGCGGCGAACUGCUCGCAGUUUGUCGUUUGCGCGCGCCUCUUGUCUCGCCGCGCGGUGCCGCGGGCACCCAGGGUCCGGGUCGUGUGGUUCCUGGCACUCCGUCCGACCCGUCUUGAAACACGGACCAAGGAGUUGAGCACGUGCGCAAGUCGAUGGGCUCUAUGAACCCCAGUGGCGCAGCUAAGGCAAAACGGGCGUGAUCCGGCACUGGCGUGUCGGCGCAACGCCGGCCCGCAGCCGACUCGUUGCGAGUGGCUGCGGCGCAAGAGCGUGCGUGCUCAGACCCGAAAGGUGGUGAACUAUGCUUGAGCAGGGCGAAGCCAGAGGAAACUCUGGUGGAGGCUCGCAGCGAUCCUGACGUGCAAAUCGGUCGUCAAACUUGAGCAUAGGGGCGAAAGACUAAUCGAACCGCCUAGUAGCUGGUUCCCUCCGAAGUUUCCCUCAGGAUAGCUGGCACUCAGGAUAAAUGGUUUUAUCCGGUAAAGCGAAUGAUUAGAGGCAUUGGGGACGAAACGUCCUCAACCUAUUCUCAAACUUUAAAUGGGUAAGAGGCGCGACCCUUCCUGAUCGGGGUCGCGUGCUUGAACAGAGAGUGCCCAGUGGGCCGUUUUUGGUAAGCAGAACUGGCGCUGUGGGAUGAACCAAACGUGCGGUUAGGGUGCCUAACGCACGCUCAUGAGACACCACAAAAGGUGUUGGUUGAUAUAGACAGCAGGACGGUGGCCAUGGAAGUCGGAAUCCGCUAAGGAGUGUGUAACAACUCACCUGCCGAAUCAACUAGCCCUGAAAAUGGAUGGCGCUGGAGCGUGCGACCCAUACCGCACCGUCGGGGCAAUGCGUGCGAAAUGCCAGGCCCCGAUGAGUAGGAGGGCGCAUUGGUGGCGUUGAAGCGUAGUGCGUGAGCACGCGUGGAGCCGCCUUUGGUGCAGAUCUUGGUGGUAGUAGCAAGUAUACAAAUGAGAACUUUGUAGACCGAAGUGGAGAAGGGUUCCAUGUGAACAGCAGUUGGACAUGGGUCAGUCGGCCCUAAGAGAUCGGAGAACUCCGUUCUGAACGGGGAGACAGACUAGCGGGGCGUCAGCUGAGCCAAUGGAGAGAGAGAGCGCCAGUGACCUGAGCCCGGCGGAAGGGGGCGAGAGCGAGAGCUGCAUUCACACAGAGCGGAGUCGCGCCGUGCUCGCGACCGGACUGUGGGCGUGCGUGCGCCGUCAAACCUGGGUGUACAUGGAAUUGACGGAAGCGCGGCGUCGUGCGUCCGGCCGGCCGCGGGCUGCCACGACCACCUGGCCUACUCGUCGUUGCGGGAGGCCCGGUCGUCGGCGGCGGCGCGACAACAUAGCCGCCACACCAGCAGCGCUCUCAACUUGAACGUGCCCCCCCGCACGGUCGCAAACCUUGUCACCCAGAGCACGGUCACGCGCUCUUCUCUCAGGGCCGCGGCGGCGCCGCUAGAGUGAGCUGAUCCCCGAUGCGAUCGAAAGGGAAUCGGGUUAAUAUUCCCGAACCUGGCAGUGGAGAUUGGGCCCUCGGGCCCCAGUGCGGUAACGCAACCGAACUCGGAGACGCCAGCGUCGAUCCCGGGAAGAGUUCUCUUUUCUUUGUUAGGAGCGGACUCCCUGGAAUUGGCUUGUCCAGAGAUAGGGACGUUGCAUCCGUAAAGCGUCGCGCCUCACGCGGCGUCCGGUGCAUCGGCGCUGGCCCUUGAAAAUCCGAGGAAGGCAGUGUAAUUUUCACUCCAGGCCGUACCCGAAUCCGCAGCAGGUCUCCAAGGUGAACAGCCUCUGGUCGAUAGAACAAUGUAGGUAAGGGAAGUCGGCAAAUCCGAUCCGUAACUUCGGGAUAAGGAUUGGCUCUGAGGUGCGGGCUGCUUCGGGUCGCGGCAAGAAGCGGACCGUGCGUUGGCUGGACUGAGUGAGCCCCUCGCGGGCGAGCUCGGACCGCCGCCAGCGCGCGUCCGUGGGCGGCCGUUGCUUUCGCCGGCGUCGGCCUCGGUCGGCGUCGGCUUCGUUCGGCCUAAACGCACAGCACAGAACUGGCACGGACUCUGAGAACACGACUGUCUAAUUAAAACAAAGCAUCGCGAUGGCCGCUGGUCGGUGUUGACGCGAUGUGAUUUCUGCCCAGUGCUUUGAAUGUCAAAGUGAAGAAAUUCAACCAAGCGCAGGUAAACGGCGGGAGUAACUAUGACUCUCUUAAGGUAGCCAAAUGCCUCGUCAUCUAAUUAGUGACGCGCAUGAAUGGAUUAACGAUGUUCUCACUGUCCCUAUCUACUAUCUAGCGAAACCACAGCCAAGGGAACGGGCUUGGCAAAUACAGCGGGGAAAG
rnacentral:rRNA from 1 species